rnacentral:rRNA from 1 species
GAGGAAUAAGCAUCGGCUAACUCCGUGCCAGCAGCCGCGGUAAUACGGGGGAUGCAAGCGUUAUCCGGAAUCAUUGGGCGUAAAGCGCCUGUAGGUUGUUUAAUAAGUCUGUUGUUAAAGACUAGGGCUCAACCCUAGAUAAGCAAUGGAAACUACUAGACUAGAGUAUGGCAGGGGUAGAGGGAAUUUCUAGUGUAGCGGUGAAAUGCGUAGAUAUUAGAAAGAACACCGGUGGCGAAAGCGCUCUACUGGACCAUUACUGACACUCAGAGGCGAAAGCUAGGGUAGCAAAAGGGAUUAGAUACCCCUGUAGUCCUAGCCGUAAACGAUGGAUACUAGAUGUUGCAUGUAAUGUGCAGUAUCCUAGCUAACGCGUUAAGUAUCCCGCCUGGGGAGUACGCUCGCAAGGGUGAAACUCAAAGGAAUUGACGGGGGCCCGCACAAGCGGUGGAGCAUGUGGUUUAAUUCGAUGCAACGCGAAGAACCUUACCAGGGCUUGACAUACUACAAAUCCUUUUGAGAAAAAGGAGCGCCUUCGGGAAUGUAGAUACAGGUGGUGCAUGGCUGUCGUCAGCUCGUGUCGUGAGAUGUUGGGUUAAGUCCCGCAACGAGCGCAACCCUUAUUUUUAGUUACCAAUUCGUUGGGUUCUCUAGAAAGACUGCCGGUGACAAACCGGAGGAAGGUGAGGAUGACGUCAAGUCAGCAUGCCCCUUAUGUCCUGGGCUACACACGUGCUACAAUGGCUAAGACAAAGAGUCGCGAGCUUGCAAAAGUCAGCUAAUCUCAUAAACUUAGCCUAAGUUCAGAUUGUAGGCUGCAACUCGCCUACAUGAAG